rnacentral:lncRNA from 1 species
UCUAAAUGCACGGUCUCGUUUAUUCUCAGCAACUUUCCGAGAUGCAGAAACUGAGGCUCCAAGAUGACCUAGGACUAGGUCAUGCGGUAACGGCCUGGCCACUUUGACUUGGAAUCUGGCCCUCAGCUCACCUGUUGUCCCCGGCUCUCUUCUGUUCACUGCCCGCUCUUUCCAACCCUCGGUCUCAGGCUCCUUGCAGUGACUGCGCUGAUUGUCACAAGCCUCGGUUCAGCCCACACCAGUGUGGACAGAUGUCUUCCCUUUUCAAGCCUCCAUUUGUUCACCUGCUAAACCUGCCUGCAGAUUGCGCUGCACACAAUCUAGCACUUCAGGGGCUCAUGAAAAUGGGAAAGGGGAAGGCUGGGAAAGGGCCAUCAAAGAAGUGGUGCUUAGGGGAAGGGAGAAACCCAGUCUUCCAUCAAUCAGAAUAGUUUCACUUUUAUCAUAUGUGUCUGUGUGUGCGUAUAUGCAUAUAUCCGCACACACACACACACACACCCAGGUUUUGUGACAUUUUCUUUUGUAAACAAAAAAGUCCCUUUGCUCAAAAAGAAAGGAAAAUGUUUUCAAACAGUUGGACUUUGUGAAUGCCAAGGGCUUCCUUCCAGUUCUUUUCAGAUUUUUGAAAACCAAGUGGGUUGCUCUCAGUUAGAACUCAAGUAGCAUGAUGGAGAAGGAGGAAAAAAGGACCUGACUAACGAGGACGUCACUGUGAGACAAAGAUCAUGCAGGGAUCGGCCUGCGGUGUGUCUCAUUUCCUGUGGGUAACAGGCACCACAAUAGUUCUGUGGGUGGUGACAGGCUCGGCUGCCAGCAUUCCCCUCCCAGGAAGGCGGUCAGGCAACCCUGGGGAAUGUGUCCAGCUUGAAAGUCUUCGAGGCUUGGUCUUUGGAAAGCGGCAGGGAAGCCCCCCUCCGUCCUCCAUCAUUGCUGGAGGCCUUGUGACACUGGGACGAUGCAGGACUUGGGGUCUAGGGGGCCUGAGCUGAAUGCUGCCUCUGUCUCUGACAACCUGUGGAAUGUUCAGCAAAAGACACAGCUUCUUGGAGGCCUGGCUUAUGUGUCUGGGAGGUGUGGCAGAAGCAGUCCCAGCCUGAAGGGAUGCUGCCAUCCUAAAGAGAUGAGGUCUGUAAAGGAGUGUGGUCCCAGAGGAGGGACUCGGUGUCUAGAACUGUAAUUAGUGUCUCAAACCUGUCCACUUCUUGUCACUUCUUCAGGAAUCACCAGGCCAAUCUCCAUCAGCUCUCCCAAGAAAUAUGACCUGUAUUAACUAGCUCCUAAUGACCUUCAACAGCCAUUCUCCACCACAGCAGCAAAAUAAAAUCUUCGAAUGUUAUCAACAGGGGCCAAGACUUCUUACUUAAUAUCUGUAAGUGCAACAGCUCAAUGCAUCAAAAUGGUACUUCCAUAGAACACAUUACUAAAGAAAUCACAACAAUGGAGCAUGUGGUUGUUCUACCUUCGUAUCCUUUCUGAGAAUACCAGCUGCAGAAGCACAGGAAGCAGCAAUUACACAUGAGUCAAAGGGUGAGCUUUAGAACAACAAAAUGACAACAAAACAACAAACUGAGUUGGAAUUCUGGCUCUCCCGCUUACCAGCUCCCGGACCGUGGAAAAAUCCCAUAAAUACUCACUAGUCUCUGUGUCCUUAUGUCCAUCAUGGGGCAGAGAGAGCACUUGUUUCCUAGAGUUCUCUAUUAAUAAAUGAGAUACUGCGUGCAAAGUGCCUAGCAGACAAUAAAUAAACGGUAGCUCUCAUUGUUGUUACUGCCGAUAACUGAAAAGUGCUGAACGACUACAGAGACCCUCUUAGGGUAGAAAGGAAUGCAAGUCAUUGGUAGGGACAGGAAUUGACCAAAUUAAUGCUUCCUUCAGAAAUCUUUCCUUAAAGAGCAAAUCAGUAUUAACAUUUUAAUGCUCAGAGAAGAAUUUCAUAUGGAAGACUUUCGGUUUUCUGUUUUGUAACUACCGUCACAGACCACCCUCUUUCCACCUCCAAUAGUACAUUUCAACAGAUUUUGUUAGACUUACUAGAUUGAAUGUAAUUAAUUUAAAAAACCCUCUGAUUUCAUGGCUGCCUCCUCAUUUGGACUUUUAAUUUACCCAUUAUUAAAGCUCACAGUAUUUCUCUAAGCCUGAGAACAUUAUUCCAACAAAGAUUUUCUUACAAAUCUAAUGGUCCAAAGAAAGAUAUGAGGAGGAGUAAAUGAAAUAAGGUAGGUGAAAAUAGUUUGGAGGAGGAAAGCAUUUUCAAGUGUAAGGUGUUAUUAAUAUUGACGAAGUAUAAAACUGUAUCUAGAUCUACCACCUUUCUGGUUUCAUUUGCCUACCUGCUUUGUGGACACAUGAAUGCAGUAUUCUACCCACUCACUUUAUAAAAAUACACCAGCACUUCAAAUAUUCAAUUUCUUGACAUACAGCUGAAUUAAUAUGUAUAAGAAUCUUUUCCUAUUUAGGGCAUGACAGAUGUCUUAGAUAUUCCUCGCAAUUGUUUAAAAUCCUGCAGGAGCCCGCAGGAUUUCUGUGAAGUGCUACAUCUCUAUGUGUUGAAUGCACUGUUAGGACUUACAUGAUUCUGUUUUCCUUUCCCUAAAAUAUAGUUAUUUUAAAAAUGAUACUUUUCCUAUUUUUAUUUAUUUAUUUAAGACGGAGUCUCGCUCUGUCGCCCAGGCUGGAGUGCAGUGGCGCGAUCUCAGCUCACUGCAAGCUCUGCCUCCCGGAUUCACGCCAUUCUCCUGCCUCAGCC